CCUACGGGAGGCAGCAGUAGGGAAUAUUGCUCAAUGGGGGAAACCCUGAAGCAGCAACGCCGCGUGGAGGAUGAAGGUUUUCGGAUUGUAAACUCCUGUUGUUAGAGAAGAAAAUGACGGUAUCUAACGAAUAAGCACCGGCUAACUCCGUGCCAGCAGCCGCGGUAAUACGGAGGGUGCAAGCGUUAUUCGGAAUGACUGGGCGUAAAGAGAGCGUAGGCGGGAUAGCAAGUCAGAUGUGAAAUCCUAUGGCUUAACCAUAGAACUGCAUUUGAAACUGUUAGUCUAGAGUGUGGGAGAGGUAGGUGGAAUUCUUUGUGUAGCGGUGAAAUCCGUAGAGAUCAGGAGGAAUACUCAUUGCGAAGGCGACCUGCUAGAACGUAACUGACGCUGAUGCGCGAAAGCGUGGGGAGCAAACAGGAUUAGAUACCCUUGUAGUC
rnacentral:rRNA from 1 species